rnacentral:rRNA from 1 species
UAGUGGCGAACGGGUGAGUAACACGUAAGUAACCUACCUUUAAGACGAGGAUAACAAUCGGAAACGGUUGCUAAGACUGGAUAGGAAACAGAAAGGCAUCUUUUUGUUUUUAAAAGACCUUCUUCGGAGGGUAUGCUUAAAGAGGGGCUUGCGCCACAUUAGUUAGUUGGUGAGGUAAAGGCUUACCAAGAUUAUGAUGUGUAGCUGGACUGAGAGGUUGAACAGCCACAUUGGGACUGAGACACGGCCCAAACUCCUACGGGAGGCAGCAGUAGGGAAUUUUCGGCAAUGGAGGAAACUCUGACCGAGCGACGCCGCGUGAACGAUGAAGUAUUUCGGUAUGUAAAGUUCUUUUAUUGAAGAAGAAAAAAUAGUGGAAAAACUAUCUUGACGUUAUUCAAUGAAUAAGCCCCGGCUAACUAUGUGCCAGCAGCCGCGGUAAGACAUAGGGGGCGAGCGUUAUCCGGAAUUAUUGGGCGUAAAGGGUGCGUAGGCGGUUAGAUAAGUCUAUAAUUUAAUUUCAGUGCUUAACGCUGUCUUGUUAUAGAAACUGUCUUGACUAGAGUGAGAUAGAGGCAAGCGGAAUUCCAUGUGUAGCGGUAAAAUGUGUAAAUAUAUGGAGGAACACCAGAAGCGUAGGCGGCUUGCUGGGUCUUUACUGACGCUGAGGCACGAAAGCGUGGGGAGCAAACAGGAUUAGAUACCCUGGUAGUCCACGCUGUAAACGAUGAGUACUAAGUGUCGGGGAAACUCGGUACUGAAGUUAACACAUUAAGUACUCCGCCUGAGUAGUACGUACGCAAGUAUGAAACUUAAAGGAAUUGACGGGACUCCGCACAAGCGGUGGAUCAUGUUGUUUAAUUCGAAGAUACACGAAAAACCUUACCAGGUCUUGACAUACUCUGCAAAGCUAUAGAAAUAUAGUGGAGGUUAUCAGGGAUACAGGUGGUGCAUGGUUGUCGUCAGUUCGUGUCGUGAGAUGUUAGGUUAAGUCCUAAAACGAACGCAACCCCUGUCGUUAGUUGCCAGCACGUAAUGGUGGGGACUUUAGCGAGACUGCCAAUUAAACAUUGGAGGAAGGUGGGGAUAACGUCAAAUCAUCAUGCCCCUUAUGAUCUGGGCUACAAACGUGAUACAAUGGCUAUUACAAAGAGUAGCUGAAACGCGAGUUUUUAGCCAAUCUCAAAAAGGUAGUCUCAGUACGGAUUGAAGUCUGCAACUCGACUUCAUGAAGCUGGAAUCGCUAGUAAUCGCGAAUCAGCAUGUCGCGGUGAAUACGUUCUCGGGGUUUGUACACACCGCCCGUCAAACCACGAAAGUUAGCAAUACCCGAAAGCAGUGGCUUAACUUCGCAAGAAGAGGGAGCUGUCUAAGGUAGGGUUGAUGAUUGGGGUUAAGUCGUAACAAGGUAUCCUUACCGGAAGGUGAGGAUGGAUCACCUCCUUU